rnacentral:pre_miRNA from 1 species
AAUAAGUGCAGUUUUGCACUAUUCACGUUCAACGUUUGACCGUCCGUCUUAUUUGAAAAUUUUUUAUGAUUAGUAUUUUUAUUGCUAUUAGAUGAUAAAACAUGAAUAGUACUUUAUGUGUGACUAAAUGUUUUUAAUUUUUUAUAAAUUUUUCAAAUAAGACGGACGGUCAAACGUUGAACGUGAAUAGUGCAAAACUGCACUUAUU